AUAAAGUACCUUGACUGGACUGUUGAUAUCUCUAUAAAGAUAAUAUUCAUGAGUGAAGCAAAUCGGAUUUGCCCAUUUCUCAGAAUGUAGAAUGUUACAGAUAGAGCAAUAUUAGAUCAUAGACCAUGACCUGGUCUCCAAGGCAACAGCAUUCAUUACCUCAUUCUUUUCCUAAGUUACCCAAUUUAACUGCCCUGUCCCUUUGAUCACACCUCCCCCUCAUUAAACACUUACCAGAUCCUUUUCUGUUGCUAUGUAGGCAGUAUAAUAGCUUUCACAGCUGCUUGCUGAAUGAAAUGGGGAAACACACACACACACACACACACACACACACACAGUUUGGGAGUGUGUGUGGGGAGAGAAAUUUCCACAGUGUUUCAGGAUCAAGGGAUGCUCGUGGCAGACUCCGUUCUGUUCCAGGCAUGCAGUAGGAACUCAUCCUGGCUUACCUAGGAUUCUGAGUGAAAGAACAGAACACAAAGACUGUUGAGACCUGCGCUCAGCCCUGGCACUCUGAUCACUUCUACUGUAUUUUAUUGGCCAAACCAAGGCCCAAGACCAGGACAGAUUCAAGGUGAGGGAAAAUAGACCACAUUGCACAUGAUUAGACCACAUUGCAAAAGGGGCAUGGCCUCAGAGGGAGGUGGACAAUUGCAGCCAUCGUGUAGUUUAGCGCACAAGCCACGGUAGACUGACUUGGAGGGUUGCACUGCCAUAGGCCUUAGUAUGUGAGCGUCGUUUCUCUCUAAAAUCUUCUCACACUGUGGAUGUCACUUUUAAGUUUUUUUUGGAGCUGGGGAUAGGCAGCAGAUUUGUGAGACUGUCAACAGGGCAGAUAAUGGUAUACUAAUGUCUCCAACUGCACCCUGAACCUUCCAGUCAUGUGAUCAAAAAGGCUAGUAUUUCUUGUCUUGACUUUCGUAACAAGAUAUAUCAAAACCGUUUUCUUCUUGGGCACCUGGGUGGCUCAGUUGGUUAAGCAUUCUGACUCUUGGUUUCUGCUCAGGUCAUGAUCUCACGGUUUGUGAGUUCGAGCCCCACAUAGGGCUCUGCACGAUCAAUGAAGAGCCUGCCUGGGAUUGUCUUUCUCCUUCUCUGUCUGCU